CAGCUGACUUCAAUCCAUAGAUACUCAAUUUGAUUUUUAAUGAUUCUCGGCUUUGGGUCCUAGGACUUUGAACAUAAUUACAUGGAAAAUGUUGCCAUGUAUUAAUAAUAACUACAAUAUUGCUAUAAAAAUAUACAAGUCUUCACCUAGGUGCUGUGCUAUCAAUCAAUAUCAUAGGUACGGCAUCAAUUUCCAGCCAACGAACCCAAUGCAUUGAAUUUGACUAGUUGACUCUGCCCGGCGUCACUCAGGUAGAUAAUGAGGGUAGAAUUUCCAAAAAUACUGACACAAAAAAUACAAUCUUUCAUGUCCUAUUUUAACUCUCUUGGUAGUGAAAUGUCCAAAAAUCGUGAAACACGAUGGUAUUUUUUUUAUUUAACCUCAAGGUUAGAU